CCUACGGGCGGCAGCAGUGGGGAAUAUUGGACAAUGGGGGCAACCCUGAUCCAGCCAUGCCGCGUGUGUGAAGAAGGCCCUCGGGUUGUAAAGCACUUUCAGUGAGGAAGAACGCCUGGUGGUUAAUACCCAUCAGGAAAGACAUCACUCACAGAAGAAGCACCGGCUAACUCCGUGCCAGCAGCCGCGGUAAUACGGAGGGUGCGAGCGUUAAUCGGAAUUACUGGGCGUAAAGCGCGCGUAGGUGGCUUGAUAAGCCGGUUGUGAAAGCCCCGGGCUCAACCUGGGAACGGCAUCCGGAACUGUCAAGCUAGAGUGCAGGAGAGGAAGGUAGAAUUCCCGGUGUAGCGGUGAAAUGCGUAGAGAUCGGGAGGAAUACCAGUGGCGAAGGCGGCCUUCUGGACUGACACUGACACUGAGGUGUGAAAGCGUGGGUAGCAAACAGGAUUAGAUACCCGUGUAGUC
rnacentral:rRNA from 1 species